rnacentral:rRNA from 1 species
UACAGAGGUCUCAAGCGUUGUUCGGAUUCAUUGGGCGUAAAGGGUGUGUAGGUGGCGCCGUAAGUCGGGUGUGAAAUUUCGGAGCUUAACUCCGAAACUGCAUUCGAUACUGCGGUGCUUGAGGACUGGAGAGGAGACUGGAAUUUACGGUGUAGCAGUGAAAUGCGUAGAGAUCAUGAGGAAGACCAGUGGCGAAGGCGGGUCUCUGGACAGUUCCUGACACUGAGCACGAAGGCCAGGGGAGCAAACGGG